rnacentral:rRNA from 1 species
AGGGCACCACCAGGAGUGGAGCCUGCGGCUUAAUUUGACUCAACACGGGAAAACUCACCCGGCCCGGACACUGGAAGGAUUGACAGAUUGAGAGCUCUUUCUUGAUUCAGUGGGUGGUGGUGCAUGGCCGUUCUUAGUUGGUGGAGUGAUUUGUCUGGUUAAUUCCGAUAACGAACGAGACUCUAGCCUAUUAAAUAGAUCGUUGGCUUACAAACGCCGGCGAGACUUCUUAGAGGGACAGGCGGCGAUUCAGCCGCACGAAACAGAGCAAUAACAGGUCUGUGAUGCCCCUAGAUGUCCGGGGCCGCACGCGCGCUACACUGAAGUGAUCAGCGUGCAUUUUGAAACCUACUCUGUCAAGAGUGGGGAACCCAAUGAACCUUCUUCGUGAUUGGGAUAGGGGAUUGUAAUUAUUCCCCUUGAACGAGGAAUUCCCAGUAAGCGCGAAUCAUAAGUUUGCGCUGAUUACGUCCCUGCCCUUUGUACACACCGCCCGUCGCUACUACCGAUUGAAUGUUU